UGCAGAAGACACUCCUUGUCGUCAUUGUGGUCGCCGCCUGUGUCGUGGCCAUCUCUGCACAGGUGGUAUGUCCCGACGAGGAGUGCCUAGGGCUGGCAGGAGGCUCUCCUGUUACAGAAGACAAACUGCAGUCUGGACACCAUGGAAGGAACCUGCCCCGUCAACGUCGACAAGCACCAUUUCCUGCCUCAGCGACCAGAGCAAGCGGCAAGCCGCCAUUCCAGCGAUAUAACAUUACCGAAGUGUAUAAUCCAGCAUUUUGGGCCUUUCUGCGGCCAUGGACUGCUUCAUCUAGUGGCUAAACCACGACGUGGGAAGGUGGAUGAGGUCUUACCAACCCACGACCUCACUGACGUACAACGGCUACUGACCAUUCCAGGCUUGUUGCUGUUCACUACCGUAAUAAAUGAUAAAACUUUCACCAAUAAGUGCAGAAUAUUUGCUAAGAUAUCUGUUGCUCUUUCAAUAAAUUGAAUAAUAACAGCACCAUGUGCAGAAAUAGCUCGCACGAAUAUUAAUUUCCGCAAUUCUAUUGCAAA